ensembl:lncRNA
AAAGAAAAAAACGGAAAAACAAAAAAAAUUGGAAUAGGUACUAAAACAAUGAAAGAGAAUAAAACAAAAACUUAUAAUGAUAAAAAAGUUAUAAGUAAUACAGAUUAUAUAGGAUUAAAAACAUGUGAUGAAAGAAAUAACGAUAUAAUGGAAAAAGGAAAUGAUUGGGAGCAAGAUAAAAGAAAAAAAAAUAUAGACAAAAGAAAAUAUAUUACUGUAAUGCCUGGAUUUGAAACAAGAAAACAAAAUUUUUUAUUAUUACCUUCUAAUGAACAUGAUACGGAAUCAAAUACAAAAAAGGAAUAUCCAAAAGUUAAUACCAAUUGUAAAAUAUUGGAAAAUGAAGCCUACCAUGACAUAACUGGUGACACAGGUUAUGACAUAAACAACACCGAACAUGUAAACUAUUAUAAUAACACUUUUGAUGAACUUAUAAUGACAAAUCCUUUUAAUAUAAGUAUAUAUAACAACGAAUUGGGUAGAACUCAUAUAUGUUCUAAUAAAUUGGAUAGUGAGUAUAGUGAUAUAAUUAGUAAAAGUAACAAAAAUAUAAAUAAUAAUGAUAUAGAAAAAAAAAAUAAAAACAAUAAUGAUUUAUUAUUUACAGAAGAAUUAAAAAAUUCAUUUAUUUUGACAAAAAAUAUGAAAAAAAGUCUGCAAAACAUUGUUAAUGAAAAAAAAAAAAAAAAAAACGUAUUAGUUAAUCGUUUAUACAAAUCGUAUGACGAUAAUACACAUUUAAAACAUUUGGAUAAUAUUUCUGACGAUUUGAAUAAUAUAUAUCACCAUAAUAGUAUAACAAAUAAUUUAAAUAUAAAAAAAUAUAAAUCUGAUAAUAUUAUAUUACCACAUAAUCGCAGUCAGAACAUAAAUCAGAAUCAAAACCAGAACCCAAACCAGAACCAGAACCAGAACCUUAGCCAAUAUUUUAACCAGAAUCUUAAUCAUAAUCAUAACCACAGCCAUAGUUAUAGUCAUAGUCAUAGUCAUAGUCAUGACCAUAACAAUAACCAUAUCCAUAACGGUAACCAUAACCUUAACCUAAACAUUAACCGGUACCUUAACCGGAACCUUAACCAGAACAUUAACCGGAACAUUAAUCAAAACUAUAAUAUGAACCUUAGCCACCAUAUUAACCGGAAUCUUAACCAAAACCUUUACCAAAACCUUAAGCACAACCUACACAAGAAAUAUAACCAGAACCAAAACCAGUAUCUAAAUCAGAACCAGAACCAGAACCAGAACCAGUAUCUAAAUCAGAACCAGAACCCAAGCCAGCAUCUAAACCAGAACCAAAACCAAAACCAAAACCAAAACCAGCACCUAAACCAUAACCAGAACCUAAUCCAACAUUUAAACCAGAACCAGAACUUAAGCCACCAUCUAAAUCAAAACUGGAAACAUAACCAAAACCUAAACUAUAACUCAAACCUGAACCAAAACCAAUUCCAAAACAAUAACCAGAACCAAAACCAGAACCAAAACCAAAAUCAAAACCAGAAUCAAAACCAAAACCAAAACCAAAACCAAAACAAUAACCAAAACAAUAACCAAAACCAAAAUCAAAACAAAAAUCAAAACCAAAACCAAAACCAAAACCAAAACCAAAACCAAAGCAAUAACCAAAACCAAAGCCAUAACGAAAAUAAUAACCAGAGCCAGAACCUAAACCAACACCAACACCAACACCAACACCAACACCAACACCAACACCAACACCAGCACCAGAACCAACACCAGAACCAACAC